rnacentral:rRNA from 1 species
GACGGAUCCAGAGUUUGAUCAUGGCUCAGGAUGAACGCUGCGGCGUGCUUAACACAUGCAAGUCGAAUGGGAUCCGGCCAGCUUGCUGGUUGGUGAGAGUGGCGAACGGGUGAGUAAUGCGUGACCGACCUGCCCCAUGCUCCGGAAUAGCUCCUGGAAACGGGUGGUAAUGCCGGAUGGUCCAGCAUGCUGCAUGGCGUGUUGGGAAAGAUUUAUCGGCGUGGGAUGGGGUCGCGUCCUAUCAGCUUGACGGUGGGGUGAUGGCCUACCGUGGCUUCGACGGGUAGCCGGCCUGAGAGGGCGACCGGCCACAUUGGGACUGAGAUACGGCCCAGACUCCUACGGGAGGCAGCAGUGGGGAAUAUUGCACAAUGGGCGCAAGCAUGAUGCAGCGACGCCGCGUGAGGGAUGGAGGCCUUCGGGUUGUAAACCUCUUUUAUCGGGGAGCAAGCGAGAGUGAGUUUACCCGUUGAAUAAGCACCGGCUAACUACGUGCCAGCAGCCGCGGUAAUACGUAGGGUGCAAGCGUUAUCCGGAAUUAUUGGGCGUAAAGGGCUCGUAGGCGGUUCGUCGCGUCCGGUGUGAAAGUCCAUCGCUUAACGGUGGAUCCGCGCCGGGUACGGGCGGGCUUGAGUGCGGUAGGGGAGACUGGAAUUCCCGGUGUAACGGUGGAAUGUGUAGAUAUCGGGAAGAACACCAAUGGCGAAGGCAGGUCUCUGGGCCGUUACUGACGCUGAGGAGCGAAASKNGGGGAGCGAACAGGAUUAGAUACCCUGGUAGUCCACGCCGUAAACGGUGGAUGCUGGAUGUGGGGCCCGUUCCACGGGUUCCGUGUCGGAGCUAACGCGUUAAGCAUCCCGCCUGGGGAGUACGGCCGCAAGSUAAAAACUCAAAGAAAUUGACGGGGGCCCGCACAAGCGGCGGACAUUGCGGAUUAAUUCGAUGCAACGCGAAGAACCUUACCUGGGCUUGACAUGUUCCCGACGGUCGUAGAGAUACGGCUUCCCUUCGGGGCGGGUUCACAGGUGGUGCAUGGUCGUCGUCAGCUCGUGUCGUGAGAUGUUGGGUUAAGUCCGAACGAGCGCAACCUCGCCCCKKUUGCCAGCGGAUUAUGCCGGGAAUCACGGGGGACGCCGGGUAAU